rnacentral:rRNA from 1 species
CAUGGCUCAGGAUGAACGCUAGCUACAGGCUUAACACAUGCAAGUCGAGGGGCAGCAUGAUUGAAGCUUGCUUCAAUUGAUGGCGACCGGCGCACGGUGAGUAACACGUAUCCAACCUUCCGUACACUCAGGGAUAGCCUUUCGAAAGAAAGAUUAAUACCUGAUGGUAUCUUAAGCACACAUGUAAUUAAGAUUAAAGAUUUAUCGGUGUACGAUGGGGAUGCGUUCCAUUAGGUAGUAGGCGGGGUAACGGCCCACCUAGCCUACGAUGGAUAGGGGUUCUGAGAGGAAGGUCCCCCACAUUGGAACUGAGACACGGUCCAAACUCCUACGGGAGGCAGCAGUGAGGAAUAUUGGUCAAUGGACGAGAGUCUGAACCAGCCAAGUAGCGUGAAGGAUGAAGGUCCUACGGAUUGUAAACUUCUUUUAUAAGGGAAUAAAACCUCCCACGUGUGGGAGCUUGUAUGUACCUUAUGAAUAAGCAUCGGCUAACUCCGUG